UACGUAGGGCGCGAGCGUUGUCCGGAAUCACUGGGCGUAAAGCGCACGUAGGCGGACUCUUAAGUCGGGGGUGAAAUCCUGGAGCUCAACUCCAGAACUGCCUUCGAUACUGAGAGUCUUGAGUCCGGGAGAGGUGAGUGGAACUGCGAGUGUAGAGGUGAAAUUCGUAGAUAUUCGCAAGAACACCAGUGGCGAAGGCGGCUCACUGGCCCGGUACUGACGCUGAGGUGCGAAAGCGUGGGGAGCAAACAGG
rnacentral:rRNA from 1 species